GUUCCUGCAGCGCAAUGGGUAGCGCGUUGGACUGAAACCAAAGGUCGUGGGUUCAAAUAUACCACCUAGAACG